CCUACGGGUGGCAGCAGUGAGGAAUAUUGGUCAAUGGGCGCGAGCCUGAACCAGCCAAGUAGCGUGAAGGAUGACUGCCCUACGGGUUGUAAACUUCUUUUAUAAAGGAAUAAAGUGAGGCACGUGUGCCUUUUUGUAUGUACUUUAUGAAUAAGGAUCGGCUAACUCCGUGCCAGCAGCCGCGGUAAUACGGAGGAUCCGAGCGUUAUCCGGAUUUAUUGGGUUUAAAGGGAGCGUAGAUGGGUUGUUAAGUCAGUUGUGAAAGUUUGCGGCUCAACCGUAAAAUUGCAAUUGAUACUGGCAGCCUUGAGUACAGUUGAGGUAGGCGGAAUUCGUGGUGUAGCGGUGAAAUGCUUAGAUAUCACGAAGAACUCCGAGUGCGAAGGCAGCUUACUAAACUGCCACUGACAUUGAGGCUCGAAAGCGUGGGGAGCGAACAGGAUUAGAUACCCCAGUAGUC
rnacentral:rRNA from 1 species